GAGAAACUCCCUCCGUCUGGAAUUACUCGUCGCAGAAAUGGAUGUAUCUAGACGUAUUUUAGUUCUAGAUACAUUCUUUUUAUCUAUUUCUAUGACAAGUUAUUCAGGACGAAGGGAGUACAUC
rfam:Triticum urartu cultivar G1812 contig1209614, whole genome shotgun sequence.